UGGGAAUGGGGACUGCAGGGCCUUCCCUUGGUUUGUAUCCAAGGCUGCCCCUUUCGGCGUUGUAGCCUGGGGCUGUGUUUUUCUUCUUCUUCUUCUCAUACUUCCUGUAUGAGGUUAGUUUUUUUAAAAUGAUAAACAAACUAUUUUUUUAAACCUUUUUUUUUGACCUGGUCAUGUGUUGCCAGCUACCUAUCCUGCUGUGAGCCUUCAGCCGUCAGCCCCCUACCUGUGCACCACCGGGCGUGAGCGGGGUUCCAAAGCAGAGGGGGUCUGUGCUCCCCUCUGCUCAGAGUGGCAGUCAGAAUGUGGCGGAACAUCACGAUCAGGAUGCUGGACUGGAGGUUGAGUGCUAUCAGGUACCAGCUGGUGGCUGAACUUCCCCUGCCUCCCAGAAUAACUGGGAGAUGAAACAGGAAACUUUAUGACACACUUGCUUGAAAAUGACACAGGACUCAGCCCCUCUGCAACACCUCUACCUGCUGCCCACAGCCGAGUGCGGGGGAAGGGCUGGCCCUGGGACCUGAUUCCAACCGCCGUGGACUCGCCGUCCAGUGUGAUGUGUCUGCCACAUUGCGGUCACGGUCUAGUCUGGUCGGUUUCCUAUGUAGCUGGCCACUCUUGGUGUAUCUUUGCCCCUUUUCCCUCAUUAAAAGCAUAACUAGAGAAAAAUGGAUUGUUUGCUUAUU